rnacentral:rRNA from 1 species
GACGAACGCUGGCGGCGUGCUUUACACAUGCAAGUCGAACGGUGAAGGUGGAGCUUGCUCCGCCGGAUCAGUGGCGAACGGGUGAGUAACACGUGGGCAACCUGCCCCUAACUUUGGGAUAACUACUCGAAAGAGUAGCUAAUACCGGAUAUGAAGUCUGUAGGCAUCUAUGGAUUUGGAAAGUUUUUCGGUUAGGGAUGGGCCCGCGGCCUAUCAGCUUGUUGGUGAGGUAGUGGCUCACCAAGGCGACGACGGGUAGCCGGCCUGAGCGGGCGACCGGCCACACUGGGACCGAGACACGGCCCAGACUCCUACGGGAGGAAGCAGUGGGGAAUAUUGCGCAAUGGGCGAAAGCCUGACGCAGCAACGCCGCGUGCGGGAUGAAGGCCUUCGGGUUGUAAACCGCUUUCAGCAGGGAAGAAGCGAAAGUGACGGUACCUGCAGAAGAAGCACCGGCUAACUACGUGCCAGCCGCCGCAGUAA